rnacentral:rRNA from 1 species
GACGAACGCUGGCGGCGUGCUUAACACAUGCAAGUCGAACGGAAAGGCCCUGCUUUUGUGGGGUGCUCGAGUGGCGCACGGGUGAGUAACACGUGAGUAUCCUGUCCUUGUCUUUGGGAUAACUUCAGGAAACUGGGGCUAAUACCGGAUAGGAGCUCCUGCUGCAUGGUGGGGGUUGGAAAGUUUCGGCGGUUGGGGAUGGACUCGCGGCUUAUCAGCUUGGUGGUGGGGUAGUGGCUUACCAAGGCUUUGACGGGUAGCCGGCCUGAGAGGGUGACCGGCCACAUUGGGACUGAGAUACGGCCCAGACUGCUACGGGAGGCAGCAGUGGGGAAUAUUGCACAAUGGGCGGAAGCCUGAUGCAGCAACGCCGCGUGCGGGAUGACGGCCUUCGGGUUGUAAACCGCUUUCGCCUGUGACGAAGCGUGAGUGACGGUAAUGGGUAAAGAAGCACCGGCUAACUACGUG